GAUGCAGAGCAAUCUCCACAAUGUAGAAUUUUAGAUACGAAUUGUAAGGAGAAUGUCUAUGUACAAAAAUGAGUAGCACGGCACACUACACAAAAGUCAGACUGUAUUUCACAAGUUGCUUUUUAACUUUUUCAUACAACAUGGAGUUAUUUGUAUGGCUGCAGUUUGGCAUCCAGUGUGUCAUAAUCCAAGGUGGCCAUGCCCAACAGUAGGUGAUCAGAGAAAGCGUCAACAGAUUGUCCUGCAUUGCAUUGUACUUGCAAGUAUUCACCUGGCAUGCAAUUUACCCAAGUUUUUGUUUCUCUAUACAGGAAGUCAGCAGCUGUCCAAAUUUUAAGUAAAAAAAAAAGGAAAUAGAAGACGCCGAGACAAGGAUGAUGCUUGCCAGUAUCACAGCACAUUGGACAUUUUUCCAGUCCAGUAUGUAUCCCAGACACGUGAAAAAAGGGCUGUAAAGAAGUACUUGUCCAUUGGCUCCCGUGUCCGUCGUGGUAAUGGCAGCUUUCUUGUUUAACUGACUUAUGAGUUGUCUUUAAUGGGACAAUUAAACCUAAUUAAAAAGCCUGUCUGAUUUGCUAUUAACUCUU